CUUCCCUGUGAUCUUCUGGUUUGGUGUGUAUCCUAGAAAGACUCUUUGACUGAACUCAGGAUGAUUCAGAGGGAAAGAAACCACUUCCAAAGACCGCCCACAGGAUGAAUGCGUAUUUGGGCGCCCUCCCUAUUAAACGGUGCCUGGAUCUCGGGCGGAUAUUGUAGUGAUGGGACGAUGUGUGGAUAGCACUGUGGUUCUUGGACCACUGAUGCAUUUGUCUUGCUGGUCAUCUUAUUGAGUGUGGUGCACAGGCCACAGGAGGGAUUUCCACAGACUGGCACAUGGCUCCUGACUGAUCGCCAGUUCUGAAACCUUUCUUUUUCCUGCACCCCAAAGCAGAUCUGGAGGUGUUGCUACUAUUAUUUUUCUAUGUGUACUAUGAUAAAAACCAAUUAAUAUGGUAAUACGGUGUCAUGGUAUAUGGUGUAAUCACAUAAACUGGCUCACAUUUCUUAUUGAGA